GUCCAGACUCCUACGGGAGGCAGCAGUGGGGGAUAUUGCACAAUGGGGGGAACCCUGAUGCAGCGACGCCGCGUGGGUGAAGGAGCGUUUCGGCGCGUAAAGCCCUAUCAGCAGGGAAGAAAAUGACGGUACCUGAGUAAGAAGCCCCGGCUAACUACGUGCCAGCAGCCGCGGUAAUACGUAGGGGGCAAGCGUUAUCCGGAUUUACUGGGUGUAAGGGGAGCGCAGGCGGCACGGCAAGCCUGAUGUGAAAGCCCGCGGCCCAACCGCGGGACUGCUCUUGGAACUGCGCGGCUGGAGUGCAGGAGGGGCAGGCGGAAUUCCUGGUGUAGCGGUGAAAUGCGUAGAUAUCAGGAGGAACACCGGUGGCGAAGGCGGCCUGCUGGACUGCGACUGACGUUGAGGCCCGAAAGCGUGGGGAGCAAACAGGAUUAGAUACCCGCGUA
rnacentral:rRNA from 1 species